rnacentral:ncRNA from 1 species
UGCAUUGCUAUGAAGGAACUAAGUAAACUUAGAAAAUCUACAAGGGAAUAGGUGUCAUUGACUGGAAGCACCUUAGACAUUACUAAGUUGAAAUUCACUCCUGAGCUAACGGCUGAAAGUAGUAGGCUGAUCGUGCCGAGCGUUAUAUCGGAUAUUUGAGUGAUUGCUAUUGUUAUAAUAGCUAUAACUCGGGUGGUACCGCGGAACCUAUGUUUCGUCCCGAAA